UACGUAGGGUGCGAGCGUUAAUCGGAAUUACUGGGCGUAAAGCGUGCGCAGGCGGUUUGCUAAGACAGGUGUGAAAUCCCCGGGCUUAACCUGGGAACUGCGCUUGUGACUGGCAGGCUAGAGUACGGUAGAGGGGGGUGGAAUUCCUGGUGUAGCAGUGAAAUGCGUAGAUAUCAGGAGGAACACCGAUGGCGAAGGCAGCCCCCUGGGCCUGUACUGACGCUCAUGCACGAAAGCGUGGGGAGCAAACAGGAUUAGAUACCCCGGUAGU
rnacentral:rRNA from 1 species